rnacentral:lncRNA from 1 species
GGAGGAGGAGAAGCAUGUUUAUGGUGGGAAUGAUCGGCUCUUGGAAACUUGGUGUUGUUGUUGGAGCAAAAAUGAUGGUGCGGAUGUGGCUGGGUGGUGUGGAGAGGAGAUUUGUCUGCUUCCAGCGAACAGCGAAAUGCUAAUACAAAAAUGUCCGGUAGGAGUGGGAGGUAGGGUUUAGAAGUGAAGGGUUGAUUGCGGCGGUGGCAAAGGCGAGAGAGAAAAUGGGAGGAGGAAGAGGUUCGCAUUUCACUUGUCAAAUCUCAAAACAGCUAAAAUCUUUGGAAUCAGAUCAAAAGUGGAGACUGGAGAG